rnacentral:lncRNA from 1 species
AUGACUGAAAAUAAGGCUUUAAGAAAGGCAGUGAUGAAUGGGUUUCAACAGAGAGGAAAAGGAAGAGACAAGGAGCAAGGGUGGUCUUCCGGAGCAAUGACACAUUAUUACUGGCAAAGUCAGAUUAAUCGGAAGCACAGAAAGAACGAGACAGAGAUUGAGAGGAGGAAAUACGCAGUGAUGCUUGCUGCUAAAUAUACCAGAAGAGUCAGUGCCCACGCCUCCCUGAGCAUUCACCUUGAGCUCAGCAGCCCGCCGCACCAUUGGAGGAGAAACCGGGACACCGCACGCUCUCAUUGGACACGAGGGGCCAGCCAGUUGCCGGGCUGUUAACAUGGAGAUGGUUAUCGAAGGUGUCGCUGAAAUUCGUCACACGGGAAAUAGAUGGGACAAAGAUGGUUAAUGAGAAAAAGUAAGUGUGUGUGUGUGUGCACUAAAGAGGGAGAGAGACCAAAUGGACUGAGGGUAAUGAUGCAAAAAAAGGAUGGAUGAAUAAAGAAACAGAUUGGUAACGUGUGGCUGCUGGUGAAUGUGUAUGAAUCACAUAAACAUGUAUGGAUGAACUUUAAAACUUGAUGAAGGAAAAGCAGGUGCGAGGCCCUGAAAGAAACAUCCUCUAGCAGACCUGAGUUUGAAUAAUAAAGAUGUUUGCUUGCCUUGCCAACAUUUUUACUGACCACAAAGCCCCACAUAUGAUAAACUGAAAAUGUUAAAUAGUUUUAGCAGCAUAUUCUAAGGUGAUUAAAUAUUGCAUUUUCUUUUCAAAAAGACUGUAAUGUAUCUUCAAAACUUUCACUGGAAAAUAAAUUCAUUGCAAAACAUUACUGAUUUGUUUAUAAUUUUCAACCCUAAUCUAUGUCCACCAGCUGCAUAACCUUGGUCUAAAUUAGCAUAAUUCAAGAACAAUGUUCAAUAUAUCACCAAAAAAAAAAACACACACAGAAUCAUCAAACUUGUUUACGAUCAGCUAAAAUGCAAGUACGGUUGACAUUUCUGUAAUUUGGCUUAAAAUGUUCUCACACUGCAUCAUCAGGCCUUCCACAUAUUAUCAUAAGACACAUUACUCAAUGUUGCUUUUCUGUUUUAUAAAAUAUAUACAAAAACAUAACAAAUUUAAAAUAAUACACUACAUUUCACUAGAAUACGAAACGAUUUUUUGGUGUCAAGUGAGAAAUUCAGAGUGAAAUUAUUUUAUAGAAAGAAACAAAGUAUUUAGGAUUCCUGAACAAAUUCAGAAUAAAGAAGCUGUAAACUAAUAUGACUGGACUUCUUCUGUUCAUCAUGUGUAUCUGUAUUGCAUAGCAGGUGCUAGUUUAGAUGUUGGGGCUCAGUAUGAGACUUCAGUAUGUGACUUAACUAGAAAAAUCCAAUGGGAUCAUCCAGCUAAGGUUUGUACAGACUCUUUUAUCCUUCAAAUGCAUUUCCUAUAUCAAUCAUUCUGAGCCAUACUCAGGGAUUCUCCAACAUCUACUCAUGCAGCACUGAAGCACAUCAUUAACUAAAGCCAGUGGCUUUAAUAACCAGAGAUGUGUUGAGCAACACGGUUCUGAUUCAUUAAAUAUCUAAGGAUGACUGGAAUCACUCCAUUUACUGGGAGCAGCAUUUGAUCUUAAGGGUUUAUAUGUAAUGCAUGUGGUUAAAAUGACAUGAGUCAGUCUUUGGGCAGUAAUUAUUUUAUUAAUCUGAGAAAGAAUCACUCUGAUGAGUUAUUAAUCUAACACCAGCUGGACACAUCUGACAAAAUACUAUUGAGUUGUUGAUGUGCACUAAAGUUUGACAUUCUAUAAUGCUAAACUACUUAAAAACAGCAUUUUGUUCAUCCUUUUAGAUCUAUUACAGUAUUUAGCGUUUAUGACCUUAAACUAAUUUUGAGAAACUCAAAAGUGAGAUAUUCUAAGGAAUAUUUGUACUAUUUAUGAGUUCCAAUUUAAUAUCUUAUGAUACAAGCCCAACAAACUUGUCUCGUUUUGUAACGCAUAACGAACAUAAAUGACAGGAGACAGAGGAAACACCAAGCCCAGUGCAUUUCUCUAAUUUAAUAGUGAAUUCACUGGGGACUCUGAAGCUUCCUCAGCUGUAUCUCAUCCCAAUCACUCUGAACAUGGAGCUAAACGACAUGGAUUGAUUUUAAAUGAACAGAGACAAUUAAAUUUAACUGAAGCAAAGCCAAUAAAAGAGAUGCAACGAAAUCCUCGAAUUUACAAGCACAUGCAAACAACAAUAUUAAGGCAGAUGCUCGAAAUAGGCGAAAUGCGAAUAAAUUAUUCGAGAAUGAAGUGUUGCAGAGAUUGGCCUCACUUCUGUUAGUUAAUGUGAAGAACUGCGCCCUCUGCUGUUUUUAGAGGAUAAUACACCGUUCCUGAUUAUUUGUAGGCCUACUGUCAAUCUCUUUUUAAAGGCCUUGAGUGUCUUAUUAGCCAACAUAUUUAUAGAUAUAUGUGAUAAUUACCAAAUGAAACAAACGUUGAUUAUAAACUCCCUUGUACAUGACUUAAAACUCACUAAGUUUAUCGGCAAGAGAUGUGGCGACAUCUCGUGGCCGAAUGACAACAUAAAAUCACCUCAAAUCAGUGCAUCAAGUCUUUUUAACCUUUAAAAAUCAUAUCGAACAGAGAGAAUUAAACGAAUAUAAGGCGAUAACAAUCACAUUCAUUAACGUUGAAAUGCCUAAAUGUAUGAAUACGAAUACACUUCAGUAAUGUCACUCACCUGAAAAACUAUUGGCGUCGAAUUGUUGUUUCUCCAUGAGAGCCAUUUGAUAAUCCUUCCACAAAUAUAUAUUCUUCGUUAUUAGACUAUCUCCAUUAAUGUCCAUUGAACCGUUAAAUUUGCAAACUGGAAGUUGAGAAGCGCUGUCAUCCUUAUUCAAAAUCAGAAAGCCUGGCAAAGUCACGAGUGAUCCACCAAUCACCGCCUUCACAUGGAAACUGGAACAGUUGCAGGGAUUUUGUAAAGACUAUUACAAAAAUAGCGAUAAUAAAAAAAAAAAAAAAAAAAAAAAUAUAUAUAUAUAUAUAUAUAUAUAUAUAUAUAUAUAUAUAUAUAUAUAUAUAUUAUAUAUAUAUAUAUAUAUAUGUAUAUAGGGGUGGUUCUAGGGUUCUAGAGUGGAGAUACGGGGCUUAGCCCAGAAAAAUC